rnacentral:misc_RNA from 1 species
GAUGAAGAACGCAGCGAAAUGCGAUAAGUAAUGUGAAUUGCAGAAUUCAGUGAAUCAUCGAAUCUUUGAACGCACAUUGCGCCCUCUGGUAUUCCGGGGGGCAUGCCUGUUCGAGCGUCAUUAUAACCACUCAAGCUCUCGCUUGGUAUUGGGGUUCGCGGUUCCGCGGCCCCUAAAAUCAGUGGCGGUGCCUGUCGGCUCUACGCGUAGUAAUACUCCUCGCGUCUGGGUCCGGUAGGUCUACUUGCCAGCAACCCCCAAUUUUUACAGGUUGACCUCGUAUCAGGUAGGGAUACCCGCUGAACUUAAGCAUAUCAAUAAGCGGAGGA